rnacentral:rRNA from 1 species
UACGUAGGGGGCUAGCGUUGUCCGGAAUCAUUGGGCGUAAAGGGCGCGUAGGUGGCCCGGUCAGUCAGUGGUGAAAGCGCGGGGCUCAACUCCGCGUCGGCCAUUGAUACUGCUGGGCUGGAGCACUGUAGAGGCAGGCGGAAUUCCGGGUGUAGCGGUGGAAUGCGUAGAGAUCCGGAAGAACACCGGUGGCGAAGGCGGCCUGCUGGGCAGUUGCUGACACUGAGGCGCGACAGCGUGGGGAGCAAACAGG